UACGAAGGGGGCUAGCGUUGUUCGGAAUUACUGGGCGUAAAGGGCGCGUAGGCGGUUUGAAUCGUCGGAUGUGAAAGGCCUGGGCUCAACCUGGGAACGGCAUCCGAUACGGUCGGACUUGAGUGUGGGAGAGGAUGGUGGAAUUCCCAGUGUAGAGGUGAAAUUCGUAGAUAUUGGGAAGAACACCGGUGGCGAAGGCGGCCAUCUGGACCACAACUGACGCUGAGGCGCGAAAGCGUGGGGAGCAAACAGGAUUAGAAACCCCCGUAGUCC
rnacentral:rRNA from 1 species